UAUGUGAUAUCUAUAUUUUGUGAGUCACAACAGGCAACAUGGUUCAUAUGGCUCUUAAAAAUUCACCAUCAUAAAAACUCACUGAGUAAAGUUGGCCCAUGUAACAAUGUCUGUUUGCCAAAUCCAGACAAGCUUUUAGAUGGCAAUUUUAACAAAGACUGUCCAUCUUAGCAAAGUACCACUCGCUAAGAGUCUAUGGCAGUGUUAAUGGACACUUAUGGAAAGCUUAU